UUACGGCCAUAUCAAGUCGAAACAUCGGUUCCCGUACUACCACUGAAGUUAAGCAACAUCAAGCCCGGUCAGUACAUAGAUGGGUAACCGUUUGGGAAUAUCAGGUGUUGUAAU